CUAAACUGGUUCAAACCGGUUUCCUUCUUAUAUUUCAGUGUAUAAACUACAAAAACAUUCGUUUGCAUUAUACAUUCGCCAUUUUACGCAGCGCCUGGAAGGUUGUCGUCUAUUAUCUGUUCGGAAAAAUCCCGCGUUACGACUGUAUUUUUGUGAGCUUUCUGUUCAUUUCGAGCCAACAACAUGGGCAAAGCCAAGCAAACUGUCCCCCCUGAGCAAAGAAGAACCUCCCCACGCCUGGCAUUGAAACCCAGACCUGCACCAGCAGAGGCUAAGAAGAAAGCUGCUCCAAAGAAGGGACCCAAAGCAAAGAAGGCCAAGCCUGCCGAGAAUGGGAACACCAAGGCUGAGGAGCCUAAGGCCGAAGCAACUGAAGCCAAAUGAAUAACGGUUGAUGUGCUCACUCUGUGUACUUGGUGAUUGUACAGUUUUAAAUAAGUAUUUUUUACCAAGUUUUAUAUUACAAAUGUCAUUUAUAGGUUUGUUUUGGGCUUGCACUCAAUGUAACAAAACUUUGUUUUCACAUUCAUAUCCAUUUUAUAUCCAUCUUAAAAGCGAUUACCGUCCAUAUCUCGUAGACGUGGCAUUUUUUUAGUUUGUCUAAUCAAGUUUUUUUUUUUUAAACUGCUGAGUAAUAGAUAUUUUUCAACAAGUUGGAUUUCUAAUCUAAUUUUAAACAUUAUAAGGCAGCUAAAGCUUAUUGAAAUUUGCAGGAGGAUGGGACUUUGUCCUUUCUUCUCCUUGUAUUUUGAUGUUGAACUAAUAAAGGAAUUGCUUACCAAACACUGUAUGUUGACAUGAGAUCUAGUCAAUUAAAAUGCCACAGGAAAAUAAAUGCAUACUUAUUAGGUCAAAAGAUUGAUACAUCCCAAAAAUAUGUAUGAUGUGAACCUGAUCAUCUGAUGAAAACUUCUGUUAAGUUAUGUUUCUGUCAGGGGAAAAGGAUGCUUUUCUGACUUCAAUGGUUAAUCUAAAUGUUCUUGAAUAAAAGUUUUCAAAAUGUCA